UACAGAGGGUGCAAGCGUUGUUCGGAAUCAUUGGGCGUAAAGGGCAGGUAGGUGGUUUAGUAAGUCGACUGUGAAAUCCCUGGGCUCAACCCAGGAACUGCGGUUGAUACUACUGAACUAGAGUGCUAGAGGGGUUCGUGGAAUACUCGGUGUAGCGGUGAAAUGCGUAGAUAUCGAGUGGAAUAUCAGAGGCGAAGGCGACGAACUGGAUAGUAACUGACACUCAACUGCGAAAGCGUGGGGAGCAAACAGG
rnacentral:rRNA from 1 species